rnacentral:misc_RNA from 1 species
UUUCCGUAGGUGAACCUGCGGAAGGAUCAUUACUGAGUGAGGGCCCCUCGGGGUCCAACCUCCCACCCGUGUUUAACGAACCUUGUUGCUUCGGCGGGCCCGCCUCACGGCCGCCGGGGGGCAUCUGCCCCCGGGCUCGCGCCCGCCGAAGCCACCUGUGAACGCUGUCUGAAGGCUGCUGUCUGAGAUAAUUAUUAAAUUAAUUAAAACUUUCAACAACGGAUCUCUUGGUUCCG